UGUAGAUAUUUGCAUAAGAAUAUGACUGGACAUUUAAGCAGGGAGCUCAGGUGUGUCCUUGAUCGCUCCCAGUGCUCGCGCGUAGGUAUUCGGCGUCCCACUAUGCAGGAGGGGGUGUGUCCGCAAGUGCGUGUGAUCAAGUCUCGCGUCAAUCCAAUCCACACAGCAGAAUAGAAGCGCUGAGUCCGGAGUUGAAAAUUGUGCAAAGUCCCAGCCACAGCAACCGGAGCUGUUAGUGUAGACGCUACUGUAGCCUGAAGUAGCAAAGGGAGCUCAGGUGUGUCCUUGAUCGCUCCCAGUGCUCGCGCGUAGGUAUUCAGCGUCCCACUAUGCAGGAGGGGGUGUGUCCGCAAGUGCGUGUGAUCAAGUCUCGCGUCAAUCCAAUCCACACAGCAGAAUAGAAGCGCUGAGUCCGGAGUUGAAAAUUGUGCAAAGUCCCAGCCACAGCAACCGGAGCUGUUAGUGUAGACGCUACUGUAGCCUGAA